GAGCCCAGGGUCGGCACAGCGAAAACGCCAGGCUAGCGGUGACGCUGCCCAGCCCAGAAAUGACUUUUUGUCCUCUUAGGAUGGCACGUGCCCGUGUACAGCUCGGCCUUUGCCCCUUUGCAACUAUUUUAAGCGGCUUCCAAGCGAGUUGAAUAAUUGCAUGCUGUGUAAAAGCUUUUAAGAAGUAAUAACGCCAGGUAAGUUUGGGCUGCAGGAGCCCAAGCGCCUGCGGAAGCAGCAAGCCCAGGAGGGGGUCAGAGGGAAGAGGAGCAGCACCCUACCGUACCGGGGAAGGAGAGGAGCCUUCUCUCAUCUUCGGCGCUGCUCUCCAGCCACUCGGCCGCGUCCCCGGGAGACAGGAGACUCAUCCUCCAGCUGGAAAACUUUUCCAUGCGGAAGGCGCCCCUCUCGCCAAGCAGGGCGCUUGCCGACCGCGACUCAAACCCGGCCUCCGAGAGAGCUACAAACGCAUCGGCAAAGCGAAGCGUCAGGCGGCGGCCAGCGAAGGGAGACGAACGUGCUGUCGGGUCCCAGCAGGGGAGAAAAUUCCCAUUACUACGGCGUGGCAAGGCUUGCUCACGCAGGACAGCACGCACCGUUAGCGAGGGGACAUGGGACAGCGCAGGAGCAAAACACCGCAGCUGCCUGCGCAACCGAGCCAAGCGAUUCCCUUAUUCACCCUGAAAAAUUACCCCCCCGCCCAUACAUACAGAGGGAUUAAAAACCAGCAUCGUCUUGGAGUUAAGCACACGCGACCUGGUGACGUAAAUCUGCCUGGAAUAAGAAUGGAAUUAAAGAGAAUUUUUCAGAGAAGGGAUUAGGUAGCUAUUUUCAUCCACCUGGUUGGCCGACGCAGGACAAAAAUUUCGCCCGCUCCCUUUGAGUUUUCUGGGAAACACAUACGGUGCACAAAACCUCCUGGGUGCCCUUCCAUUAAAAACUGGUUUAAUUUCCAGUAUUACCUAUUGAUGCUGCAAGUCUCUUGCUCUAGACAAACCAAGGCUAAGUGCAUUCGCUUCCCAUGACUGCUUACCAACUUCCCACCUUGCACCACGAUUUCAAAUCGUUCAUCCCUUGCAACAUAUCGCAAUGCCUCUGCUAACAGGGGAAGCGUACCAAAUAUGAAAUGCGCUUACUGGAGUAUUCUAUAAUAUGAGAAUGUGAGAAACAGCGUAAGAAAUGGAGGAAGAACUGGCACAAGGUUUUCCGUAUGCAGACUCCUCAUUCUCCUGUUUACCAUGGCCCAUGGGGAAAACCCAUGGGGAAAAAAAAGCCUGCACAAAUCCUUCCCUGCUAUCUACCUCUUUCAGUGUGGUUUAAUAGCUAGAGAGAGGCCACAGCAUCCUGCAGGACAACCAUUAAAAGACCAGAAAAUUUAGAGCGACUUUUAAAUGCAGAAGAACUACUGGCACUUAGCAAUAUCAAACCCAUAAAAUUUGAAAAUAGAAAUAAUCGUCACAGUCAUCCCAUCUGAUUUGCUGGAAACAGCCCUAGAACAUCACCCAGGGCCUCUCCCCUGUUCGACACCAUUUACACAUGAAGACAGGCACAUCUAGAAAAGAGGCACGCAAUUUUAACAGACACUGUAAAGACGCACAGAGUCAGCCUGUAAGCUGUCCCAAUGGUUAACAGCACUCGUGGUUAGCCGUUUGCUCCCCGUUUCCAAGCAGGAAUUUAUCUAGCCGCAUCUCCCAACCACUGGGCAUCGGUUGACAUUCGUACGCUUUAAUGCUCUCCAUUAUCAGACUCUGGUAUCAGAAGUCGCCUCUCUGUUUACAUCCCUUGCAAAUGCCUGCUUUCAAUCACUCGCUUAAAAAAAAAAAUCAAAGCUCCUCCAUAGCAUUGAUUUUAAUUUUGAAACCUCUCACUGUGCAAAAAAUGGACAAAACCUGCUCCAGGACUGCAGCAGGGAAGCAGUAUCGGUCUCCUCUUAAAGCCUGCCACGGAUAGGAGAAAGGUGGUGAACAGCUUCUUAAAUGUGUCUUUCUCCAUCUUAAUGCAGCUCUUGUGCUUUAGAGCUUCUCAAAAUCUUUCAAAAAACUGUUGUCUGAAUUUUCCAGGACAACCGGUGUUUGAGAUAAGCUGCAAAUAAGCAAGAGAGGAAUAUUCAAAACAUGCUGCGAGACCUACAGGGGAAAAAAGUUUGCUGAAUCCAUGCAAAUACAGAUACAAAUUGCCCUACUGACCAGAGAGAAACUAUGCAAAAUGUGAGAUAGAUAGUAUCCUUUAUUGAAAAAUAAAGAUAUAGAAAGGUAGGAGAAAUUAGCAAAAUAAUAAAUAAAAAUAUAUAUUUCUAAGAAGCUAAUCUCUGCCUUGAGAGACUACAGUUUUCCAAAAUUAGCACAAGUAGCUAAUAUAGAACAGCAGGUAAAAACAUGAAAAAUCUCCCUUAAACUGCUGGGAUUCAGCUCCCUCGCUCCCACUUUCCAAAGGCAGAAGCACCCGCAAGGCUGAAAAUUAAACCAAACCUUCAUGUUUUGGAAUCUCUUAUAUAAGGCAGUAAUUUAAAAGGUGUAUACAUCCCCAACUGGUACCUCUUUAUAUCACCAUCAGUGAAUGAGCUUCUGCUCCUUUUUCAGUUGUCAGAAAUGUCACCCUCCUACAGCUAUGAUGUGGAAACCUAUGAAGCUAAGCAGCUUUGCCAUCCUGUGGAUUUAAAAAUUACCAUCCUUGCUAAGUGAAACUACACAGAAGCACAGGGGCUCAGAUUUUGCUAGAGGAAUUUUAGUAAAUGAUAAUUCCUAAUAUAUGCAUGUAAUAGAGCACAGAUGCCUUCUGAUGCGGAUGCUUCGCAAGCACCAAGCAGCAGGAGCGUUAUAAAUCAUAAUGUAUUAAUGCUCUCUGCAUGAGGCACUUACAAGAAAAGGAAAAAUGCAUCGCACUUGCACCGGGGACAGACUGACUGACUGAUUGAUGGAUACUGCUAUCGUCAGUAGGCGAUAUCUUCACAGCAAUAUACAUUAGACAUGGUACACCCAAGUCAUUCUUGUUACACGGUUUCACGGUUAAUUUAUGAGUGGAGGAAGACAGGAUAUUUACGCACUUGAAAAAUGAAAUCCUCCCUCCAGAACAGUGGCAGAGCGGGCAGCGAGAGGGCAAUUUUUUUCACAAAAAGAAGGCAGGCAGAGACAUAUAAAAUAGCUUGCCUGAGGUUGCAUCACUAGUUAAUGCACAAGAAACAAUAAACCUCUGCUUGCCCAACUCCUGGAUCAAUGUCACACAUACUAGACAACACUGCCCACCUCUACACUGGUCCAUGAGGAAACAGGAGAAGGUAACUGACUCAUUUUGCAUGAGGAAAAAUGUCAAGCGGUAAUAAUUUUCCAGUCCUAUUCCAUGCCAUGGCACAGAACAAGCAAGGAAGCUUCAAAAGCAAGUUUUCCGGAUAUGCCAAAGCGCCCGUUCUAGAUGCGAAAGGCUCCAUUUCCUGCAUUAGAUCAGUCUAAGUGCCUAGCUCUAAGGCCAGUCCCGUUGUUCUGGGAAGCAGUAUUACGAUGUAACAGCCUGAACCACACUCUGAUCUAGUUCAAGAGCAUCUGAGUGGACAAGGCUGAGUAAUUCAUUUUACAUUACAGAACCACAGCAAAGGGAUUCACAGUUAUUUUGUGAUGUGGAUGACUUUUUGUCUUUAGCUACAUAAGCAAAACUAGCCCGUAAUAUCGUGACACCAUCCUACGGACAAGCUACGAACAGCUGAACAGAAUUAUUCUACUGCACUGCAGGUCAGUAGUAGCUUUACCUCAGACACAAGAUGUGGAUAGUCUUACUGGGGCAUGGCCAAGCACACAGAAAGCCCUUUCUCUUGAGGAAAAACUCGAUGGACAGUCAGGUCCUUCUUUAAGCCAGUCCAUUCUGCUGCGCAAAGUGAAACCGCACUAGCAAAUGACAAGCCCACCCAUACACGUUAUCGUCCAGUGCUUCCUAGAUCUCUUAAUGAAGUGAUUUUAGCGCAGCCAGAGAUCUUAAGCGCUCUCGCUCAGCAACUCCUGUCCACUGAAGAUGACAGCCUCUACAUGCCACAGCACCCAUGCAAAAUUACCACUGCAAGAGUCCCCUUUACUUCACAGAAUCACGGAAUGGUUGAGGUCGGAAGGGACCUCUGGAGAUCAUUUAGUCCAACCCCCCUGAUCAACCAGGGUCACCUAGAGCACGUUGCCUAGGAUCAUGUCCAGACAGCUUUUGAAUAUCUCCAAGGAGGGAGAAUCCACAACCUCUCUGGGCAACCUGUUCCAGUGCUCAGUCACCCUCACAGUAAGGAAGUUUCUCCUCAUGUUCAGAUAGAACUGCCUGUGUUUCAGUUUGUGCCAGUUGCCUCUCGUCCUGUCAAUGGGCACCACUGAGAAGAGUCUGGCCCCAUCCUCUCUGCACUCUCCCUUCAGAUAUUUAUGCACAUUGAUAAAAUCCCCCCUCAGUCUUCUCUUCUCCAGACUGAACAGUCCCAGCUCUCUCAGCCUUUCCUCACAGCAGAGGUGCUCCAGUCCCUUCAACAUCUUAGUAGCCCUUUGGUGGACUCCAAUAGCUCCAUGUCUCUCUUGUACUGGGGAGCUCAGAGCUGGACACAGUACUCCAGAUGCAGCCUCACCAGAGUUGAGUUAGAGGGGGAGGAUCACCUCCCUCAACCUGCUGGCAACGCUCCUCCUAACGCAACCCAGGACACCAUUGGCCUCUUGGCCACAACGCACACUGCUGCCUCAUGGUCAACUCAUCGUCCACCAGGACUCCCAAGUCCUUCUCUACAGAGCUGUUUUCCAGUGAGUCAGCCCUCAGUCUGUCCUGGUGCAUGAGGUUGUUCCUCCUAGGUGCAGGAUCCUGCAAUGUCACUUCGUUGAAAUUCAUGAGGUUCCUCUCUGCCCAUCUCUCCAGCCUGUCGAGGUCCCUCUGAAUGGCAGCACAGCCCUCUGGUGCAUCAGCCACUCCUCCCAGGUUUGUAUCAUCAGCAAACUUGCUGAGAGUGCACUCAGUCCCUUCACCCAGGCCACUGAUGAGUAAGUUGAACAAGACCGGACCCAGUAUUGACCUGCGGGGGACACUGCUAGCUACAGGCCUUCAACUAGACUCUGCACCACUGACCGCAACCCUCUGAGCUCUGCCAUUCAGCCAGUUUUCAAUCCACCUCACUGUCCACUCAUCUAGCCCACACCUCCUGAGCUUGCCUAUGAGCAUGUUAUGGGAGACAGCGUCAAAAGCCUUACUGGUCAAGGCAGACAACAUCCACUGCUCUCCCCCUAUCUACCCAGCCAGUCACCCCAUUAUAGAAGGUGAGCAGGUUGGUUAAGCAUGAUUUCCCCUUGGUGAAUCCAUACUGACUACUCCCGAUCACCUUCUUUUCCUCCACAUGCUUAGAAAUGGCAUCCAGGAUGAGCUUGUUCCAUCCCCUUUCCAGGGAUGGAGGUGAGGCUGACUGGCCUGUAGUUCCCUGGGUCCUCCUUCUUGUCCUCCUUCUUGCCCUUACUUUCCAGAGCAAACACCAACAUCCUUCCAAACCCAACUGAGAUCAGAGAUGUUGAUCUAGAUGCCACCCGGGAGGGAAGGAGAAGACAAUUUCCUAAAUAACAAUUCCUGGGGCAGUAAGGAAUCCAGCAUCAGUGAUGACUACGCUCGCCAACAGUCUCUCAAGAUAAAUAAGGGCAGGAAGGCUCAAAAUGAAGAUGAACAAAACUAACCUAGAAGUACUCUAGUGGCUGUUCCUACUUCACCUUUAGGGAAAGUGGGUGGCAAGUCCCUACCACAAACACACAACUUAGAAAUAGCUGAAUACAUAAGUCUAGCCAGGGGCCUUUCUCAAACAGGAUUCACUUAGGUCACUUUACUUAGAUGCAAAGAACAACAGUGACCAGCACAGAGAUCAGCUCGUGCUCCCCUUGCAAUGUAAAGGGAUGGUAUCUGCCUGCCUGUAUGGGUCUAAUCAAUGCUUCAAAACCUUCUCCUUAACAGCAGGGUAUGUCUUAAGAGACCCACAUUUCACUGUGCUUCCUUGCUGCACAUAAACUAUUUUGAGUACAGCAAUAUCUUACUAUUAUAGACAUACCUUUCAUGUUAAAAAAACAGCUGUCGAAGACCUGCGAAGUGACUUAGGUAAGGAGCUUAAUUUUAAACUACUUUUAAAACAAGACUUUGACUUUUUCAUAUUUUCCUAGCCUUUGUUGCUACUGAACAUGCUAAUAUGGCAAAAACAAGGCUGUCUUUUUUUUAGCAGACCCUAAAUCCCUCUCUAGAUCCCAGUAUGGUGUUUUCCUGGCAGUACUGAGGCAAGACUGCAAUGGUGUAAGGGCUGGAGAUGAAUCCUUCCAGCCGCUGACUGUACCUGACCACAACAUAAAGUUUUGCCAAGUCUAAGACUACUCACCCCUAUACUUUUUUUUCUCCUGGACGUACUUAUUAAUGAAGAGAUGCCUGAGGGGAGCAGAAAGCCUGGGAAUCAAACACAUUCGUUGGGGAUCAACCUAGAAAAAGUGAGAUACGUGAAACACCACAGAACCAUCAUGCUGCCCAUGUGCAGCAAGAAAGGAAGAUGCAGCCUUAAAUGAUCUUAAAAAAGAAAAAAAACCCACAAAAAACAAAAACCCACAAACACGCUACUGUAAUUGAAGGAUAAGCAUAUUAUUGGUUCUUGGGCAUGUUAACUCUAAACAAGCCAGUUCCAAGAAUCAGAAAAUCUAGCAAUAGGAAAGCUGCACUACUGCAGGUCAAGCCAUCCUGUUAUCCCUGUCCGUGUUCCCACGGAUGAGCACUUCGUCUGCGUUACAACAGUGACCUCUCGGAGCAUCGGCAGGAGUAUUGCUACGGGUAAGAAUCGCUGGAUUUUCAUAACUUCACUGAUGAAGCAACCACGUACAGUAACUCAGUUACAUUUUCGUGCUGAAGCCAACUUCAGGUACCCUUAGGAUAGCUGAGGGAUUCGGCCAAGUUAUGCUGCUAGCAGUAUGGGAGCUGGUAAGUAUCUAUUAAUGACUACUCUAAAAACACUAAGCUAAUUUAGUUCCAAAUUAGGGCCAAGACAUUAUUUACAGAGUCAUCCACCCCAUGGUGUCUUUGCAAACUGUGAGCCAUAUGCCUUAUGUAAACAGACAUCUUGUACUGAAGUAUGAUACAUCCGGCUAUAUAUUUAACAACUAGUAUAGAAAGACUACUUAAUUUCUGAUGCCAGCAGUCAUGCGAUGACUUUUUUCCCAGGAAUGUGUUUAUGAAGAACACCUACAUUCUUUCCCUCAAAAAAAACCCAGGGUGUUUAAAAGAACAAACAGACUCAAAACAUCCUGAAAAUACUGAACUGUAAUAAUAAAAUACAUAAAUAAAAACGCACAACCCCCCCCUCCACCCCAAAAAACUUUUCCGUAUUUGCCAACCACAAAGAUUAACAAGGAAGCCCUUGCUCAACAACAUGGUGAAAGUGAGGGCUUGAAUGUUUAAGCCUUUUUUCUAUUGUUAAAACGGGAUUUUUGAACUAUCAUCUUUAGUAAAAAUUUUAUAUAUACUCUUAACACUAAAAUUAAGAAGAAAAAGCCCCAAAAGAACAGAUGAAUAACAUAAGAGAGUUCAGCAUUUGAGGUCUGAUCCCCUGUCCUGAGACCAGCUGCAUCACCUGCUUCACAAAUCUGAAGAUCCAGCCCAGAAGUCCAAGUACUAGAGCUUUUCCAAUUUUUAAAGCAGUAAGAAAGAAGGACGAGAAGCAGUUUUUGAACUCUGAUACCAGGAGGACCGAAACCGCCAGCGUCUCAAACGAUACCAGCGUUACAGUGCUUUUCUGAACAAGAAUUUCCAAGGAACCCAAUCUUCAAAUACAGCUUCAACACGACAAGGACAAAAGUUAACAAAAACCCACGAGCUUGUUCCCCCCGUCCCCUGGCUUGCCUCUCUCGGGCAGCCCACAGAAACCAAGCUCUCUCCAUGCCGGGAAGGCCCACGGGCAGCUAGGCUGGCUGUAUUUCCACGUCUCUGGGGUAUUAAAAAGAAAAAGAAAAGAAUAGAGGGAGAAAAAAAAAGAAAAGUGAGGCAGUAACCGCCCAGACAGACACACUGCUGGCAGGCGGCUCGCUGAAGCACCCUUUCCUCCCUGCCCCUAAAGACACAAAAAACAGUGCUUGACCAGCUCAGGUGCAGCCCCACUAUAUUUUACAUAUGAUCUUAAAGUCCCUUGGGAUUUUAACCGUUCUAAAUCAUUAUAAAGGAGCCUCAUUAGAAAGACAAAUGAGGAGAUGCAUUUUAACAUAUGACUGAUUUAUCAGAAAAUAUACUAGAAAACCAUGGAAAAAAAGAGGUCUUUUAGCUAAUUCCUAGCAAGGGAACAGGCGUAGUACACAGAGGGGGCAAUGUGCACGUUCUUGCUGUCUGGGAGGACACUGGCCUGACCCUUUGCACUGCACGACACCGGCUUGCUAUGAGCUGUCAAAAGGAGAAAAUAAGCAGGCGAGCUUUGGGAGAAAGAGGGCAACUUGCAACUAAACAAUUUCCAAGCUGCUGUUGGGAGAGCAAAGCACUUCCCCGCGAGCGCAGCAGUAAAGCGUGGAAAACGAAAACACCUUUUCCUGCUCCCUCCGCAGGCCAAAUGCUUUGCGCAACUCGAGCCCUCACAAACGCUAGUUUUCCCCAAAUUCAGAAAAAACAACGCAAGUAACUGAUUCAGGCAGUUGUGCUGGAAUACCCCUGCCCGCCAAGCUGUCCUCUACCUCCUGGCCCCCUGCUCAGCCCUGGGCACACGCUUUCACCCAGAGCAGGGAGGCAGCCAGGAGCCAUUAUUCCUAUUUAGACUGUAAAUUAUUUGGGUGAGACGUUGUUUCUGUCUGUGACGUCUCCAGAAACAAAAACCACACCAAACAGUUCAAAAGAUACCUUAGCAACUUUGAAGAAAACUAUUCUUCUGAAAAAAACUAGGUUUUGCGGAGAGACCCCUGGGUGCGUCCCACCACUCGCUCAGCUCGCAGCACUCCGGUGACGCCAGCAGAAGACCCACGCAGGUGGCUGCAGAGCAUUUCGGGAAAGCGUUCGAUGCCAUCGAGCUGUGCUAUCGUACUGGCCGAAGCUGCCGGUCGGAUGACGGAGGCGUUGCCGCACCGUCCCAUCGGCUGACCGCGGGAUUGCUCACCCUCUCCACGGGCGCCUGCGUCCAGGCGAGCGCCGGCUCUCGGGAGCGCUCCCACAACAAGCCCAGCGUUGUUUCCUGAACGAAGCGAGCCUUGCGGAGCGGGGCGGCCGGCGCUGUGCCAGCCGCGAGCUGUAUUCCACCCCCAGGUCACCGCUCGCUGCUUUUAAAUGUCAACAACCCCAGAGCUUUGCCAGCAUCGCCAGGUGGGAACUGAACUCUUCCCGCCCUGCUGCACGACUGGCGCAGACUCAAAAGAAAGUAAUUCAAAACACCUCUAACACCAGGUAACAGGACACAAAACCACCGGCUGGAAACUUUUAACGCCCGGCAGCCUGCAAGCAGGCAGCGUGCGCUCACCGGGCGCAGCACGGGAGCGGGAGCGUUCGGGAGAGCGCGGUCACGGCCGGCAGCCCCGUUGCCGGCCCUGCCCAGGAGUCGGCCCCCUGCCCUCCCUCUCCCGCCUCCGUGCCACCUGUGUUCGUGGGAACCCCGGGCUGAUCUCCGCACCUGUACCAAAAUACGGCGACUGCCAAAGCCCCAAGGCCUUUCCAAACACUGGAGAUCGGUGCAAGAAAGGCAGUAGAGACGCUUCUUCUUUUAACCCGUUUCCAAAUGAGGGACCAAAUUUAGUGGUGACGCGAGGAAAUGCAGCAAGAUAGGAGACAGGAUAGUUUAGGGAAUUUUUACAAGGCCAUACUGUUACAAGGCCACUCCUGUUAAAUCCCCAACACGCAUAUUAAAAGCUUGUUGACCAUUUAACGUUUGGCGCUGACAGCGCUGAAACGGAGCGGUGACGGCCGCUGCACCAUUUGCUUGCUGACUCCUUGCGCAGUUUGCCUCUCCCUCACUACAAGCAGUGACCCACAUACACAGAAAAUUAAACGGAAGGGGAUCACUGGGUCUCCUUUCCACUGCUGGCCCAGUUUCGAAUCCCACCAUUAUUAGCUCUCCUCAAGAACAUUUGUGCUGUCUGAUACCAAUUAGCCAAGAAAACCAGAUAAAAGAAAGUAUUCCCUUUACAGAAAAUUAAAGUUCUGAAAAGGUACAUACCUCUACAUGCUAGAAAAUGCAUCCGUCUCCUGAUGCCAACGAGCCAUUUAUAAAUGCCAUCCCUCAGCUGUAUUUUGCUGCUUCACACAGGUCUUUGACUUCAGUGUUAUAUUAAACUAACAGCUGGUGGGAAACUUACUCCCAGAUAACAAAAAACAGCAACGAGCAGGACAAGCUUUGGUAUAAUAGAACACCCCUUCCUCCUGCUUACAGCCAAAUAAUGAAGCCGAUUUGUUCCCAUGAGCUUUAAAGAGCCAUGACAGAUCCUUUUGACAGAAGUUAUCUCAAGUAUUCAUUGGGAUCGCGCGGCUUUCCCCUCCCCGCCCAUCUCCUCGGAGAGCCAAAGAGCCCGCAAAGAGCAUCAGAUAAAGCCGGGGCAGCACGAAGCAUCUGCGGGGAGAUAAGCUGCUGCUCCCGUCUGCCUGCCGCAGCUCCCCACUGCUGCUGAACCGGCCGCUUUCCACUUCUCUACCACCUUAAUGGGUUAAUCAUAUGAAAAAGCCCAAGAAGGGAUGGGAAAUGUUCUCGGUAACCGCCCCAAGAUCUCCUAACUGGAGCUUGGACAGGACUGGGCUGUGCCACCGCGAGCUUUUCUGGUUAGUUUGCUAAGAGUUUGCUUGUUUGUGAAAGAAACGUGUUUGUCCCCAAAAGCUAAUGCAGAAGGUUUUCAUUUUCUGAUACAUAAUUCAAAGGCAGCUGCAAGGUGAGCUGAUCAGAAACAGUCUCUCCAAGUUCGCAGACCAGGGGGCUCCCUGGGCAGCAGGCGAGGAGGGACAGGACUCCAUCGCUGGUACCUCCUAAAGGCUGUUUCCAAGGCAGGAAAAAGUGAACUCCGGAGUUUCUGUUCCUGGAGUCCUUAGGCAACAUUUACUCCUUUUGCAGCUACUGGAAAAUGUCUAACUGUAUCAAAAGGCACUAAAUUUACACACUGCCCAGCUUGGUAUCAUUAACAACACAUCUUAAGGCAAAAGCUGCUAGAAAAGCAAGCAGCGUUAGUAAGGCAACGCACUGGAUAUUUAAAAGAAAGCAAAACCCCUUGCUUUACGAGCUGGCUUUGGUCGACCACCGCGUGCUGGCAGGCAGCAAGCGAGGCUGGCCACGGCACAGGCUGCAAACGCCGCGGCGUGCCGGCCAUGCACGACCGCCGACCUCUGCUCCCCGGCGUGCCCCCGUGCAGAAACCCCGCGGGGCGUACACACGCGCGGGCACCGAGCUGCGCCGGGCAAAGGCAGGCUUUCAGGUGGGGGAGAAGCAGCACGCCUAGCGAUCCAUGCAGCGAUAAACUAGUUUGUCAACUUUAAGAGCCAAAACAACAAAAAAAGCACCUGGCUGUUUCUCCUCUCCCUGUCUACCUGAGGUCUCGCAGGGACACGAUCGUGAGCUGAAAAGCAUCCGCGUCGCACUUGGCCAUUUAUCGGGGGAGCGCAAACAUCUCCAAAAAAACCCACCUGUGUCUAAAGCUGAAAAAAUGAAGAGUACACGCAAGAAGGAAAACCUGAAAAAACAGAUAAAACCCCCCAGCACUUUCUAUUUGCUUUAAUAAAAGCACACUUCAAAGUCACUCACCUCCAGGGACCCCCCCCCCCGCCCCCGGCUGCCCAGCCCCGCGGGCCCCCAGGGACCUUACCUGUGCCCUGCAUCCCGCGGCACCGUCACCACCGCCUCUACCAUGAUCCCGGCAGUGCCGGAGCCGGCGCUGGGCAGCGAGGCGGGCGCCGCGUUUCGCCGGCCCCGGCGAGGGUGGGGAGAGCGGAGGCAGGCGGGCGCGCAGGGGGGGCGCGUGGCCCAUGCCGGCGCGGAGGCCGCUUGGUGAUUUCCAGCGGCUGACGCCGCAUCUGAAAGCAGCCGGGUGGAAACUUUAGAGGCUGCUACCACUGCACGAGCCGGCCGAAGCAGCCAGGGACUGCAAAAAAUGAGCUUCGCCAGCUGCAAAGGGGCUGUGUCUCAGCGCGGCUGAUAAAACCGUGCUGCCUUUAAAGAUGUUCCCUGCUUCGAGCAUUUCUACACUUGCGGCAACGCACAGCAGCAGAGCGCCCUGCUUGAAGAAACAACGAACGUUUGUCUCUUUGUAUCCUGAGCUGCCUCUUUUUUUUUUUUUUUUUUAAAUUCAUACCAUGAUUUCUGGCUUCUGAAAGUGAACCAAAAAGGUGGCUUUUUCCUCCUCUCUUUUGCUGUUUAUUUUAGCGCCGUGCCCAGAGCUGGACUCCCAGGUACAGCAUUGCUCUAGGGCGAAAAGACAAAAGCUGCUCUUCAAAGGCGCAGUGAGAACAGAGGGAAAACCUACGUGUUCUGCCUACGCUCGAGUGCCACGGCCGGCACGCGCAGGCGGCAGCGACGCGAAGCCGCUCGGCCUCUCGCUCCGCGGGCCGAAGCUGCCGCCGGCAGCCUCAGCACAUCCCUCUCACUCCGGUUUUGCUGCCUGUUUGCAACAGGCAUCCUCCAGCUCGGGCCCCUUCUCCUCCAGCACCACCCGCCCCGUCUUUCGCCGCCCCACGACAACAAACACCAGCAGGGCUAACUGCGCCCUCUCCCUCCCACGCCGAGCGCGCAACUACGCGCGCGGAUCCGGCACAAAGAUGGGCACACAACAGCAGGUCGACAGCAAAAACCCCAGCCCUGCCCUCCCCCAAAAGCUGUCACGGCAGCGUAACAAAACGAGCAGCCCUCCUAAAAGACAGAUUGCUUUGACCUGCUGCUUAGAAAUGUCUAAUUACCAGAAACAGCAGGACUAAAGGGUCUCAUGAUCUCAGCUGAAUGAGAUUCCUCAAAAAAAGCAGGAACGGCUUAAGAACGACUGCAAUCUCUGUUCCCUCACCCACCCCCCCCCCCGCCCCCCCGACGCCGUGGUAAUUACAGGGAGCGUUUCACCCCCGCGCGCUCCGCCAGCGACAUCCCCAGCGCCGCAGAAAAGCAUCGCUGCCGAGGGUGGAGCAACCUCAGAGACCUGCUGCACACCACGGAAAGGCGGAAAAAUUAAGGACUGGGACGCCAGAGUAAAUCGGGAUUUCCCUUCAAAGGGUUCUAACGUUUUCGUGGGCUUUUUUAAGUUUGCCUGAUUUUUCUUUUCUGGUUUCUGUUUCCACAUUCUAGCUUUUUUUCCCCCCCAUUUCUCAUCAUUCACAUCACAAUCCUCUACUUUUCAGCAGGUUCAAAGAGAAGGGUUAAACUUUGGUUCCAGCUCAGAAACAAGGCCAUUAUCUGCCUGUUCCUUCCAGACAAGCAAUUUCUAGCGACUUGGUAGGUUCAGGUCUGGCAUCUACUUUUAUCGACCCUAAAAUUUUCUGUACCAACCUGGAAACACCACCACCACCACCACCACUAGAUUCUCAAAAUGCCACAGGAGCUUCCGACUUCAAGGAAAUUUAUCUUCUGAAUACUUGGAAAGAGAGAGCAAAUUAGGAAAGCGUUUAAAAAAAAAAAAAAGCAACCAAACUGCACAAAUAUUUGGAAAUAUUCUAGAAAUCUAUCCAGUUUCUUGAAAUGCGAAGUCUCGGAAUAAAGAUUCUUCCGAAAAGACUUUGACACUGCUUAAAGACGACCACAGCCCCCCAGUAACGUGACCUGUUGUUCCAACAACCAACCUCUGGCAAACGUAACGUUCUGCUCCCCCUAAGAAAAAAGGGCCUGACGAAACGGAAGAACAGGAGGUCGGCACCCUACAUCUGAAGAAAAACUUCCUUGCUUGUGAGGCACCUACCCACGCUGCUCUGGGAAGCAGGGAGGCCACCGGGAACGGUGACAGCUUCUCCCUCCAGAAGCUGCUGCAAGAGAAAGCUGUUGGCAACAGCACAGCAAAGGCACCAGAGAUCAAAUAAAUAAGACUUGGAUUAUUUUUUUUAAAUCUAUGUUUUAAAUGUAAAUCCAUUUCUUUUAAAAAUUAAAUGAGAGGUUAGCUUCAGUUAAGGUCCAUCUGUCCUAUGAUUUAUCUGACCUACUCAAAGAGUAUUUAUUGGAACGCUAUGCUAGCAGAAGACUUAAAAAUUGCCAAAUAAUGAGUGGAGGAACAUUUAAAUAAACUUUUAAAUAAACAUUCUAAACAUUUUAAUAAACUUUCUCCUAACAUA